AUGGCAUCACUGUGGAUCCUACUAAUUUUUUAUAUUGAUCAUGGGAAAUAAGAUUUCCUUGCUUCCAUUAAAGCACAAGAUGUUUUUUGGAAUAAAUCAUGUCAUUGCUGGAGAACACAAUCAUCAGGUUUUAUUCAUGUCCGCUCCAUUGCUUAUUUUCAAUUCCAGUUUUUCUUUGUUAUGCUGAGAGUAUGAAAAAAGGUUAUUAAAUUAUAGAAUAGAAGCUUGGUCUUAUACUUUGGACUUGCUAAUCACCAGCAACAUUUAUCACCAAUGAUAACUGAUGCUCAGAGCAAUAACAGAUUGUAAGCAGCAUUAGCAUUUCUGCAUUGCAUAUUUUCAGCUGCAUAUGUUUUUCAUUCGAGGUGAAGUCUAGAGAAGAUGAAAUGUGGGUUUGAUGUCGUUUGGAGGCAGCUAGCUCUUGUUUCCCCCACAAAGACCCUAGAUGCUAUUUCAGUGGCCACAUUGGAACAGAAAUACCACAGGAUCACACAGAACAUUUGUGCAGGGCUGAUGUUGCGUGCUCCACGUUGUGUAGGAGUAUGGAUCUGGAUCAGCUUGUUUUGUAACGUUUAAAACAUAAAGAUGUAAGGAAAUAGACAUGGAGGGAGAGAGAGUUUUACCUGAAAUACAUUAGCAUAAAUGUGUGUGCCCUCACAUAGAAAUCAUUUUGUCUCCUGUUGUAUGCAUGUUUUUUCCUCAGAGGUGGAACAUUGUGUUUAUAAUGUUUAAGUUGCUAAAACUCCCAAUUCCAGGAAGGCUUUUGUUGUUGUUAUUGUUUGUGGAAAAACCUUCAUCCAAAAUCUGUUGUUCCAGCAGAUUCCGGAAAGCAAUGCAGUCAGUGCGCCGCCUCAGGCCUUAAAACCAUUAAAGCAAAGUAAACAAGAGGUGCCUACAACCAGACCCUCUGAUAACAACAAUUCAAUUUAAAACAAAGACACAGAAACCUGUUGUGCUGUUUUGGAGGUGGCUGUGGAAUCAGCAGAACAUUUACAUUCUCAAGAGAACUUUUGCUGAAUUGCAUUUUCAACAUUAUAAUCAAGGCAGAAGCAAUAGGUGCAGGAGGUCGUGGAUGGAUAGAUGGAUGAUGGAGGGAAGCAGACACACACUCAACUGGAAGUAAGUUGUCACACGAAGACACAGGAACACACAGACGAGGAGAACACACUGGAGGAUCGUUGGAGAACAGUACUGGGAAACAGGAGAUAAUCACACAGAGGAUUCGUAGGAGAAACACAUGGAGAAGGUCCUCUACAUUCAAACGAGAUUUGUCUUUGGAGUGAGGUGAGGAGUGUGCUUAAGUGUAGCUUGUGUGAUGAGGUGACGACGGAACAGGUGCGGGUGAUUGCUGAGUGUGAACAGGUGAGUUGAAGGAGGGAUUAUGGGAAAUGGCGUUCAGUGAAGGCAAGACAGACGGUGACAAAUACAUUUGUUAUGGUAUUUAUUCAUCUUUGUUAAUGUUAGUUAAUAACAAUACAACUGUUUGUUCUUGUUAGUUCACAGUGCAUUAACUAAUGUUAACAAAUAC